AGGAGUAGCAGGUGGUGGGUUCAUACAGAACCUGGGGCCCAUAGGAGACAGGAGAGCGAAGUGCUAAACGGGGUUGUAUGGGACAUGCUGCAUAAACCCCAACACUGUAAAGAAGGUUGGGGAAAAGGAAGUCUGGGACAUGAAAUCUAAUUUUGGAAGGAGCAGGACAAGAACAUUAAAGACAAGCGUUGUCUGCUUUACAACUUUGUAUAGGCUUUGUUCAUGAUGUGCUCAUGUUAACAUUACAGGAGGCCAGAACGGACUGAAUGUCACAGCCUUUAUAACCCACACUGUGGCUGCAAGAAGAGACUCAAAGGAAAGACGAUGCUCCCUGCCAUUCCUCAGUCGCUGAAGUGUGUGGUCAGUCGUCAUUCGUUGAGCCCUUCCUCGUGUAAGACAUGCUGCUGAACCACUAAGAUAUGCUCUCAUUUAAUCCUCAUGCUAACCUAAGAGACAGCUAAUAGUAUCUAUACCUCAUCUCCACUUUUUUUUUGUCUUACAGAAGAUACUGAGAGUCUGAGAGGUUAAAUUACUUCAAAAUCAAACAAAAAAAAGAUUGUAAAACUGGGAUUUAACCCUCAAAGCGUGAAGUCCGAAGUUCAAGCUUUUACCCCAGGGCCUUAAGACACAGGAACUAGCAUCAGAAGUGCCUCAAAAACAUGAUGCUAUUUGGUUCCUAGGCGCUGUAACUCAGCCCAGAUCAGCGGCCUCUGUGCUGGAGCAGAAAUGGAACAAAAAUUCCUGGGACUUUAGUGCUUCCUGCAGCCAGCCUCAGGCUUCUUCUCCAGAUUCUGAGAUGCAAAAAUCCUACUUCUGCUCCAAAAGGAGAAAAUGUGACUUGCAAGGAGAAUGAAAGUCUCAAAGAGGUAAAGAUGUAAAUCUCUGACUAGUUUCUGCCUCUCCCCAUCCUCCUCACUCACUUCCUACUACUUCCCAGUAUCAAAGAGCAUGUAAGAAAGGACAGCAUUUGGACGGGCAGGGCUCUUCAGCCCCUGCUUUGCUCUUUUCUAGGUACCUCUUCUUCUUCCUUGAAAGCCAUUGUCCCUUUAAUCAAUGUGACACAGCCCUUUGAAAACAGCCUCCUUGCUCUUGGAAGUUGGCAGGGGAAAAAAGGCAGGAAUUCAUUUGCAGGAGAGAAAGCAUCGUUAAAAAUGCCCUAUUUAGGGAAAGCUUCAGAGCCAAGACUAGGUGUAUGUUCUCAUUAUUUCACAUGUUGUCAGAGUAACCAGUACAGUGAAAAGACAGCCUUUUGAAGAAAACAAGUUUGUGGAAAGUGCUUAAUUAAGGUAGGAGGACAUUUUAUUGAAAUUAUUUAUAUUUGCUAUUAAUAUUUUUGACAUUUUAUGUUUAUGCAGCAAUAAAUAAAAUACAUGUGAAUUUAUUGCAUCCAAAACUUUACUUCUAAUUUCCUACAACUGUAUGCCAAAGCCCUUGUAAAUUCUAUGUCUUUUGCAAGAAGUUUUGGACUAUCUACUGUAUUCUUUAUGUUUCUGUGUAGUUGACUGAUUUUUUAACUAUAACUGGG
rnacentral:lncRNA from 10 species